rnacentral:rRNA from 1 species
ACUCUCGGCAACGGAUAUCUCGGCUCACGCAUCGAUGAAGAMCGUAGCAAAAUGCGAUACUUGGUGUGAAUUGCAGAAUCCCGUGAACCAUCGAGUUUUUGAACGCAAGUUGCGCCCAAAGCCAUUUGGUUGAGGGCACGUCUGCCUGGGCGUCACUCAUCGUGUCGC